UUCCCCCGACAUGUUGGCCCGGGUGCUUUGUCAUUCAAUUUGGCUGUUCUAAACGCUAGGCAGUUCCUUUCUGCUCCUGUGCAGAAGACAGUUCGCACCGCGCGCCGGUCUCUGCUUCAUUCGGCUGCAACAGUCGUAUCGACUGUGGAAAGUCUGAAGCCGGGAGCAACUGGCUGCCCGCUACGCUUAUGGUCUUGACCUCUCCCCUGUCAUCCCUCAGCCGUUGAGGCCAUUCGAAGGCUUUUGACUGUCAAUCUCUCUUGCAUUGUCCCGGACCAAUUGCAGCGAAUCCGCACAUUGCUACUUCAUAGAACGGACCGCCCACCAGUCAAGCCAACUUCCGGCGGCUUGAUUUUUCACAUAGAUACGACAUACUUGGAUUAGAUUGGAUGUUGCCGUGCUUUGGCCAGUUGUGUCCAGUAUAUUGUCCGUUUUCCCCACCCCAAAUAGCUGACCCACCUGAUCCAA